UACAGAGGUCCCAAGCGUUGUUCGGAUUCACUGGGCGUAAAGGGUGCGUAGGUGGCCGGGUAAGUCUGAUGUGAAAUCUCCGAGCUUAACUCGGAAAUGGCAUUGGAUACUAUUCGACUGGAGGGUUGGAGGGGGGACUGGAAUUCUCGGUGUAGCAGUGAAAUGCGUAGAUAUCGAGAGGAACACCAGUGGCGAAGGCGAGUCCCUGGACAACUCCUGACACUGAGGCACGAAAGCUAGGGGAGCAAACAGG
rnacentral:rRNA from 1 species